GGCUCUAGGAGCGGAUUCCUUUCCACCAAAUUCACCUAAUUAUGAAUCCGGAUUGUUGAAAUUUGAUUCAACAGUUAUAAUUAUUAUAAUUAAAGGAACCUCUUAUUUAUAAUCGUUGGAUCAAAUUUCAACGUUCUGGAUUCCGGAUUAGGUGGAUUUGAUAUAAAUGGAUCUUCUUGGAUCCCUUUCCUCUAGGAGCUGCAACUUUUGGCCACCAAACACCUGACUGACACGUGUACUUUCCUAUAAAAAAACUGGGUGCGUAUAGAAAAAUGAUAUAUUGCAAGAGCUUUCUACAACACGAAGUUUCUUUCUCACAACUUUUUCCAGUUUCAACCCUUAUUUUAAGUUACUGAGAUUUCCAUGACCCCGUUUGAUCAUUGCGCCAGUCUCAUCGAGCAGCAAUGCAUUUGGCGAAAAGGGCUCGAACGGCGGAGAUGUACAGUUUUUCGCGGAUGAAUAUGAAUCAGAAGCUCACACGACGAUAUCGCAUCAGAAAUGUUGGGAAACUGAUUGAAAUUGCUCACCGAAAUCUUGUUCCACAGAUGAUCAAGUGUACACACUCAAGAAUUAUUAUUAUCAGUUGAAACCAGAUGAUGUUAUUUCAUGCUCUGCCAUUCUGAUGUGAUUGAUCAAUCAAACAGGUGGCUAGCUACUGCUCCGUUUGAUCAGUAACCCUCUGGUGAUCAUUUUGGUUGAAAGCAGAAGACAUGAGCACAGCAGAGUCCCAGCCAAAUGUUGACGGCGCCAUAGUACUAGCACUAGUCAUAGAAAUCAAAGGAACGUGGUCGGAACCAGCACCAGCUGCGUGUGUACUAACAUUCCCAUUGUGCAGUACCUGUUGUUGCAAUUGGUGUUGUACAGAAAAUGGAUCCUCGUUGAUCAACGAAUUCAGAAACGAAGAGAAGACGUCGUCCGCACAACAGUUGAUGUCCUCGUCCUCUUCAUUUCCUCCUCCCCCAAGUAGUAC